rnacentral:snRNA from 13 species
AUAGUUGGCAGGGAGACACCAAAAUCAGGUAGGUGAUUUUCCCAGAGUGAGGCUCAUCCCCUGCACUCCUUUGUGCUGACCCCUUUGAUUUCCCCAGAUGAAGAAAACUGACUGCAUAAUUUAAUUUGUGGUAGUGGGGGACUUUGUUCGUGCUUUCCCCUG